rnacentral:rRNA from 1 species
UCGCUAACGUACCCUGGACUCUGGGAUAGCUAAUCGAAAGGUUAGGUAAUACCAGAUGAGACCACGAAUAGGCAUCUAUUUGUGCUCAAAGGUCCGCCGGUCUGGGAGCGGGCGAUAUCGUAUCAGCUAGUUGGUGAGGUAACGGCUCACCAAGGCGAUGACGCGUAACUGGUCUGAGAGGACGGCCAGUCACAUCGGGACUGAGACACUGCCCGG